GACGAACGCUGGCGGCGUGCUUAACACAUGCAAGUCGAACGGAAAGGCCCUGCUUGCAGGGUGCUCGAGUGGCGAACGGGUGAGUAACACGUGGGUGAUCUGCCCCUUACUUUGGGAUAAGCCUGGGAAACUGGGUCUAAUACUGGAUAGGACCAUGCUGUAGGUGGUGUGGUGGAAAGAUUAGUUUCGGUAAGGGAUGAGCUCGCGGCCUAUCAGCUUGUUGGUGGGGUAAUGGCCUACCAAGGCGUCGACGGGUAGCCGGCCUGAGAGGGUGGACGGCCACAUUGGGACUGAGAUACGGCCCAGACUCCUACGGGAGGCAGCAGUGGGGAAUAUUGCACAAUGGGCGCAAGCCUGAUGCAGCGACGCCGCGUGGGGAAUGACGGCCUUCGGGUUGUAAACUCCUUUCAGCCAUGACGAAGCCCUUGUGGUGACGGUAGUGGUAGAAGAAGCACCGGCUAACUACGUG
rnacentral:rRNA from 1 species